rnacentral:rRNA from 1 species
GGGAAUCUGCCCUUGGGUUCGGAAUAACAGUUAGAAAUGACUGCUAAUACCGGAUGAUGUCUUCGGACCAAAGAUUUAUCGCCCAAGGAUGAGCCCGCGUAGGAUUAGGUAGUUGGUGGGGUAAUGGCCCACCAAGCCGACGAUCCUUAGCUGGUCUGAGAGGAUGAUCAGCCACACUGGGACUGAGACACGGCCCAGACUCCUACGGGAGGCAGCAGUGGGGAAUAUUGGACAAUGGGCGAAAGCCUGAUCCAGCAAUGCCGCGUGAGUGAUGAAGGCCUUAGGGUUGUAAAGCUCUUUUACCCGGGAUGAUAAUGACAGUACCGGGAGAAUAAGCUCCGGCUAACUCCGUGCCAGCAGCCGCGGUAAUACGGAGGGAGCUAGCGUUGUUCGGAAUUACUGGGCGUAAAGCGUGCGUAGGCGGUUAUUCAAGUCAGAGGUGAAAGCCCGGGGCUCAACCCCGGAACUGCCUUUGAAACUAGGUAGCUAGAAUCUUGGAGAGGUCAGUGGAAUUCCGAGU